UGACAAGGAGGGAAAGCUCUGCAGUGUCAGGUGUUUAUGGAACAUCAUUUGGUCAAAGCAACUGGAAGUCACCUACGCAGCUGAGGCUAUUGAUAUAAAAGCCAAUGCGGACAAGACGUGUGGUGAUAACAAGCUGUGUCUUAAGGUGGGCGGGGAAAACAAGACGGACCACUGUACUGGGCAGGAUGUGCUGCCAAAGCUUGCCACUGAGGAACCCCUAUUGGUCAGCUACAUAAACAAGGGCGCCAAGGACUGCGGAAAGGGAUUCAAGAUGUCACUAAAACCUUCUUACGCCGGAUGUGGCAAGAAAUCGAGCGUGUACGAAGUCCAGAAACCAGAUAACAUUGAAAUCAGCUCACCAAAUGAUGACGGCAAAUACCCAGACAACCUAGACUGUAAAUACGAAGUCAG